UUUAGACUAGUGAUAUAUUCAUGUGAAGAAAUAUGAUGAGAUUUAUAGAAAUCGCAUCAUCCGUUUACACUAGCGUGAACUUCUAUAAUGAAUAUAUUCAUAUCUUCGGUGAAAUUAUUCACCUGAAGUAGAACUGCAUCCAACUUUAGUGAUUUCUCACCAGUGAGAAAUUCACAAGCGUUUACAUGUGCUGAAUUUAUUCAAGUUAUAUAUACCUCGAAUAAGUGUAUCAUAUUUAUUCUCACCCGUUUACACCUAUUUUCACGUGAAUAAAUCCAUCUAUAGCUAUAGAUCUCCCUAAUGUAAACCCGCCAUAAGAUAAAACUAACUAUGAAAGAUGAUUUCCACGUUUAAAACGUGUUUUAUUCACAGCUCUUGUUCAUCCGGAGAAUCAAUUGAAUAAUUUUCUUGCGUAUUCCGAAGUCGACGCUUGGCGUGUUAUAGAAAUACAAUCCGGACAAGGUUCCAGUGCCCACGGAGAGUAUCUGCUAGUAUUUCAAACGUUAGCUAUUUAUGUCGAUUUGCAAGGCCGAAAGUCUCGAGACUGAGAAAUUAUGUACCCGGUCAUACCCACCAAUAUAACUGUCCCAGCAGAACUGUCAACACGUAACCUCCACUAGUUUAUUGUCAGAAAAAUCUCACAAAUACCCCGAUCAACCAUCACAACCAGAGCUAGUACUCACUCCAUCAGCAGCAGCAACCUCAUACCUACAGUAAC